rnacentral:misc_RNA from 1 species
ACAAGCAUCCAGUCACCAUCUUUAUCCUCGUAGGUAAGAACAUAUUCUGAGCCAUGAAGAAGAUCCUUCAGCUUGGUCUCACUUAGCACCUCUCUCCCCAGAGCUCCAUGAGAUCCAUAUUGACCUAUAGUAAAGCAGCUGAACAUCUUUUCAAGGGCAGAAGACAGUUCCUGAUAUGCAGGGUAGUUUCUCAAGUCUACUUUCCGUAAAUAAGGGGCACCGUCCAUGCUAACCUUGACAAACAAGGGACCAGACCCUGCUUUUCCAUCCACUUCUUCAGUAUUCUUUGAUGUGGUAGCAAGAGAGUUCUUCCUAAAUGAUCUGAUGGGUGGCCAACCCACAACCUGUGCCUUGGUAGCAGG